rnacentral:rRNA from 1 species
UACGAAGGGGGCUAGCGUUGUUCGGAAUUACUGGGCGUAAAGCGCACGUAGGCGGAUAUUUAAGUCAGGGGUGAAAUCCCAGAGCUCAACUCUGAAACUGCCUUUGAUACUGGGUAUCUUGAGUAUGGAAGAGGUGAGUGGAAUUCCGAGUGUAGAGGUGAAAAUUCGUAGAUAUUCGGAGGAACACCAGUGGCGAAGGCGGCUCACUGGUCCAUUACUGACGCUGAGGUGCGAAAGCGUGGGGAGCAAACAGG